UUAUGAGGACUUACUGCCAUCAUUACAAGUUUCUUUGAGUCCUUCCUUUUGUAGGUUGUGUUGAUGACUUUGUAUCUUAAGUUUGUCUUAAUAUAUGUCCAUUGUUUCUCCUGGGAUUCUUCUGCCUACAUGUAGGUCGUGGUGGCUGACUGGCUUUGUGCAGUAAUUUGGCCUGGUUUCUGCUGCUUUAGGCUGAUGCUGUGGCCUGGCUGACUUGUGUGUUGGUUCUUUCUGACAGGGUGAUGUUAGCUGCCAGGGUGCAGAAAAGAGUGAACAGGACAUCAAAAAGCAACAGUGCCAGUGCCAUGUUCAGACCCAGAUAGAAUGUGAGACUUACACUCACCCACAACAUAACCAGGAAAUGGCUGAUGCUGAGAUGAAGAUUCUGCGUGAGACGUUCACACAAGAAGAUAUUGAAGUCCAUCAGCUUGCCGUCGCUCAUGACACACAGACAAAUUUGCUCAAGUGUGGUAAAUGUGGACGCCGAGAUUGUACUUAUACUCAGACGCAGUCGAAAAAUUCUGAGGAGCCUAUUACUACGUCAGUGUUGUGCAAUUAUUGUGGUAAACGUUGGAAGUUCUGCUGAGUUUCAAGUCAGUAUUAAUCAGCUAUGUCCCAAAGGAUUUCUUUGUCUUUAAGCAGAGCUUAUUAAUCAUUGGUUGCUACUAAAACUAUGCAUCUUCAGAGUUAGAAUAAUUCCUGAUGCAGGCAGUCUUGACAUGUACCUCAGCUGCUUAAAAGGUGCUACAUUAAGUUUAUCAUUCCUCAUGCUUUUGACCUAUAAUGUUUCAUAAUACUUGUGGCUGAAUUUUUGUUUUCAUAAACUAUAUUAUGUGAAUAUAUGAGAAAUUAAUGUAUUUAUAUUUUACAUUUAGCAAAUACCAGUAUAGUAAACUCUUGCCCUGUGUUAGGAUUAUGUUCCCUGAAAACCCUGUAAACAUAAAAAAUAUCAGUAAUUGAAUUACAAGACUGAUAACAACUAGUAUAUGAACACAAGAGAUAGAGCAUGAAUGGUUUGUCCUUUUGCUAUACAUUGACAUAUUUAUGUUUAGGCAAAUUUUUCCACAUAUGCUAUUUAAGUUAGUUUAAGGUAUUUUAAUAUAAACCAAAUUUAAAAUUUUUUAGUAUUCAUUAACAUUAGAAUAAAUGGAAUAUAAUCAAAAAGGUAAGACUGUGCCUUGAUGUGUAAACAGAAUACAAGGAAUCACUGAGAAUGAGGAAGCAUGAAGACUCACAAAAUCAGUUUUCACAUUUGUCACAGCUGCAUUACUAACAGUCUUGAACCACAGCAAACAAUGCAAUAUUUGCUUAGGAAGAUGGUUUCAUUUGAAUGGUGAGGGGUAGUCAGUCAGGGAAGGUGUGUGUAGUAUAUUUAGGGAAGAAACAGUGAGGUAACAAGUAAACAAGUGUACAUGCAAUUACUUUGUUCUGAUUAGUUCUACCGAGCUGUUUUUUCUUUUGCAUUAAAAGACUGCUGAAUAUGUUUAGGAGGAGAAAAGUGUAUUUGCUUAUAAAUUUGCAAUAAAUCCCUAAAAUUUGUUUGUAGGAGAUUGUGGAUAAGACUUUUUAACUAAAUAUCAUCUCCACAUGAUUAACAGUGUGUUUCUGAGGCAUCAGUAUACUUGGUGCACCACCACACAGUAAAUUCAGCUUGUAUCACCACUUGCCCACACUCCUGUAUUUAUAUAUUUUUAGCAGUUGAAUGAUACAUUUCUAAUCAAUGAUGUAUGUUAAUCUUUUAUAGCCCUUCUUUUAAUGACCAAUUGCUUAAUAUAUUUUCAGUUAAUGACCCAAAAAAACACUUAGGAUUGUUUCCCUGUUUAAUAACUACCUCUCACUCUUACAUUGACCAAAUUCCCAGUGGCAGACCCCUUUCAGAAUUAUCACUCUCUGGCUCAUACAACAACCAGAGCCCAGGGUAAUAUUCACAGUUUCACUUGAUUUUUUAACAAUCUCUUCUUAAAUUUUGUUCAACUGAUUCACUUUGACUGAACCAAAAGAAGAGACUUAGGUGGUUUGUUUUCAACUUGAAUGUCAUACACCAAGUCAAAAGUAAAGGAAGACACAGCCAGACAAAAUAUGACUGAAUUUUGUGCUUUUUUAUUGGUUGUUUGUGAACUACAUUCAUUUUUUAUAUGGUAUGUGUAUUGUAAACUCAUAUUUUUUGGGGAAACAUUUGUCAAGAAAUGUGAAAUCAACAGUCAUAAGGAUAUAUCGCUUAAUUUUUAACACUGUCUCUAAAUAUUACUCUAAGCUGUUUUAUAUUGACACUCAAAAGGAAUUCAGUGAACAUAAUUUGUUCAAAAUCCUAUGUUUUAUUUUCAGUUUGAGCAUCAAGUACUAAAUGAUCAUAAAAAGCACACUGUUGAACUUUUAAUAAAUAUCACUCUAAGCUAGUAUAUAUUGACAUUCGUAAGUAAAACUUGAUUAUAAGAAAAGAAGUUCAGGUAUGGGAUUGGGAGUGAACCUAUUUUGAGUGAAAUCCUAUGAUUUGUUUUCAAUUUGAGUGUCAUACACAGAAUCAUAAGAAAAUGGAGGCUUGACCAGACAGAAUUUUGUAUUAUAUUUUUUCUCAGCUAUUUUUGGAUCAGAUUCAUUCAUUGUGUAUUAUCAUAUGGUAUGGAGGGGUUUGGGAUAUUGGCAGUUUGGAGUGAUUAUUUAAACUGUCAUAUCUGGGUGCCUCUGCAAAGACAAUGAUUAUAUAUGAGUGAUGGUAAAAGUGUUGACUGAUAAUGAAAGUUUUUCUUUCUUUUUGGGUUUUUCUUUCUUUUGGGGCCCCCUGCUUUGGUGGGAAAUGGCUGACGUGUUAAAAAAAUGUAAUACGUGUAUUUGUAAACAUUCAUCAGGAAUGAAAAAAUAAUAGGAACCAGUUAUAACAGAUUUCUGUGGGAAUAUUAGAUUUCCUUAAUGUUUUUGUUGGUUAACAAACCAUUUUUUCAGCCCCUAUCUAGGUUGUUAACCCUUUCACUGUCCAGACCCCAAAAUUAAAAUUGCUCUCAGUGUACAAAUUUAAAAAAAAGUAAUCUUAUAGACCCAUAUGAAGUACAAUAUACAUAUAUCCACCUGUUGUUUGCAACACAAUACCCACAUUAAUGGUGUCAUGAGUACAUUGUUUAGAAAACAUGUUUACACAACAAUUUAAACACACACAGGUACAAAUAUUUCACAUUACUACUGUUCUAUUUUUUUUUAACAUGCUGGCCGUCUCCCACUGAGACAGGGUGACCCCUCCCCUCCCCCCCCCCCAAAAAAAAAAAACACUUUCACCAUCAUUCACACUAUCAUAUAUUGGUCAUGUACCUAGAGCUGUUAUAGUUUGUAGAAGUCCUUGAAGCACUUCUCCAUACAUAGCUGUGUUCUACACAUCUCUACACAUAAAAUGUGUUUUUACUUUGGUUGCCACUUGUCAACAUAGCAUCUCUUAUGAGCCCAUUUCAGUGUUGUUAGGAAGUGAUCAUCAAACUUCAAAAGAGAGGGUACUGUAUUUGAUAAUCAUCAUUUCUCAUUCUGUAUUUCUGGCACCCUGUUUGUUCAAAACCAAAGACCUUAUCAGUUCCAUAAUUAUCAUUGUUGGAGCAGUCAUUGGGGCAUAAAACUUGUUCAUUUUGCCUGGCAGUGAGGUUUUUGCAUCGUCCUGCCAUGGUCAACAAGGUGCACUAUAUACAGUGGUACCUCGGGAUACGAACAGCUCAAAACUCAAACAAUUAUGUGAGUGUAUUUAUGUAAGUGCUUUUGUAAGUGUAUUUUUUAGGGUCUGAAAUGGAUUAAUCUAAUUUACAUUAUUCCUUAUGGGAACAAAUUCGUUUGGUAUCGGCACUCGAGCAGCCUUCUGGAACAAAUUAAGUUCGUAUCCCAAAGUACCACUGUAUAGUAUUCCCACAAUGCACUGUGGGGGUCCCAAUUUUUUGUAUACUGUGCAGUGACCACUCAGACCCAUUCUCAUGUAGGCCUACCAGGCCUUUCGUGCUAAAUUUAAAGCAGCUAGAAUUUAGGCGUAGAUCUACAUCAGUGACCCUGGCAUCAAUGACAUAGUUUUACAUGAUUCAAAGGGAGUCAACUUUAAAAUGUACUGUAAUUAGUCUUAUUUAUUAUUAGCAACUUCAGUAGAUUUGUAGCCUUCAACUUUAUUAUUAAAAGUUUUAGUAUUUUUGUAGUCUAUGUGUUUUGAUGAAUGAAUUUAAAAGUACUCAAGGGCUUAUGUCCUGAAUGUCGUAUAAUCAUAAAUACAUACUUGUAAACACACUGAAUCAUAUAAUAAAUUCAUGAGAGGCAAGGAGUUAUUGUACUGUAAUUGUAAUUUAAAUAAUUUUGAAUUACUUCUUAUUAAAUUCACUGGUGUGUGUGCAAAAGUUACUAUGCCAUUUUUACAAAUAUAACAAUCAUUGAUUAUACAGCCCCUUCUAAGGGAAGGGUGAACUGGAUUUUCACCAAGACCCAGUAGGUAGGUUGCAAAGGUGUAAUGCUAAUUGAUAUGGGUAUAAGGACACAAUAUGCAGAACCAGCUUUUAUUGUUGUGCUUGAGAUUGAGAGAAAUGUAAUCUCAAUAAAGGCUUGUUUUACAUAUUGUGUCUUUAUACCCAUACCAGAUGAUCACAUUUUUUUUGGUUCCUUUGUUUUGCACAUUACUUAUCUGUGUGUGUGUAUUAUAUGUAUAGGUACCAGACUGAGCAACACCAUUGUAUAAUGUUGGAAGUUGAAUCACCAUUUACCAGAAGUAAUUACCAUUAUUCUUGGUAAUUCUGAACCUGUACUCCCUGGAAUGCAGGCGGGAGAGAUACAUGAUUAUAUACACCUGGUAAACCCUAGAGGGACUAGUACCAAACUUGCACAUGAAAAUCACUCCCUAUGAAAGCAAAAGACUCAGCAGACAAUGCAACAUCAUCCCCAAUGAAAAGCAGGGGUGUCACUAGCAUGUUAACCCUUAAACUGUCCAAGCAGAUCUACAUUCACAUGCGUAGUGCUCUAAAAGUAGAUCUACGUUUAUUUUACGUAUUUUCAAAUAUAACAAAAAAAAAAGUAGAUCAAAGUUUUUUACGCGUAUUCAAAUGUAAAAAAAAAAAGAUCUACUUUUUUACAUACUUUCAAAUGUUGAAAAAACGUAGAUCUACAUUUGGACAGUUUAAGGGUUAAGAGACAACACGAUAAGUGUCAGGGGCCCAAGACUGUUCAACUGCCUCCCAGCAUACAUAAGGGGGAUUACCAAUAGACCUCUGACUGUUUUCAAUCAGGCACUAGACAAGCACCUAAAGUUGGUACCUGACCAGCCGGGCUGUGGUUUGUACAUUGGAUUGCAUGCAGCCAGCAGUAACAGCCUGGUUGAUCAGGCCCUGAUCCACUAUGAGGCCUGGUCACAGACCGGGCCACAGGGGCGUUGACCCCCAGAACUCUCUCCAGGUAUAUCAUACCUUGAUAAUUUAUGUAUGAAACUACUAUGUCAUUAAGUUUAGACUUUAGAAUGAAAGAUUCCUUUUUACAUUCCCUGAAACCAACCUAACAUAGGAGCAUAUACAGUACUAUAUGUUGUAGUAAAUAUAAUGAUAGGAUAUUUUAGCAUUUUACUGAGAUUUACACUUCAUUUCAUAUGGUUGUAUGUUGUGCGAGAGCAUAAAAUUAUGAUUUACUUUAUGUAGGAUUAUAUGUGGCAUUCAUUGUUCGUCAUUCUAGAUCUUGGACUAUUUUAAGUUUUCAUGCCUCACCCCUUGAUAAGAUUUUAUGUUAAGAAAACUAGGGUACAUGAGGUCCCAAACUUAACUACACCAAAGUUACAAGUGACCACACCUUCAAAUAAGGUCUGUAAGAAAUAUAAAAAAUAUUUAUGCCAAUCUGCAGUUAUGAAUGUGUAACACAACCAUUUUUGUUGUACUACUGAAUUAUUUUCUGUAGGAAUAUAAGUUCCAAGUUUCUAAGUUGGAACACCAGGAACAUAUCUUGUCCAUUAAUUGGGAACCCACUGUUCAGUGUCUAUAAAGAGUGUAUAUUGGUGUAUCUAAUACUAUAGGUUGCUGUAUGUGUUUAAUGAAAGUAUUCUUUUGCAUUAUAUCCUGAAAAUUAUGUUUUCAAAUUUCUGUAUACUUUGUAGGUUUUUCUUAAAUCAUAGACAAUUUUUAUCACCCAAACUUCUUACUGUGUGCUUGACUGUAGAGUCUAUAGACUCUUAUACUGUAAUUUGUUAGUCAGGAUAUGAAAUUAUUACUUUUUUACUUUUUGAUAAUUUAUAUACUGUAUAAGUUAUUUAGUUCAUCAUUGUCCAUUGUCAUUGCAUAUUAAGAGAUUUCCCUAUGCUAUAUAGAUGAGUAUGCAACAUGUUGAACCUGCUUUUCUUGUUGAUACAGUAAAUCCUCCGUGUAACAGACUAAUAGAGAGAAGGGGGUGUCCUUUGAGUUAAAUGUCUAGUGGAUCAAAAUUAUGAAAUUGAUUUUCCAUGAUUGUAACAUUAAUGGACAAAUGCCCGGAUGCAGCAGACCUGAUUCAUUAAAUGGAAAGUCUACCAUACACACUAUAAUACCACUAACUGACAAGUGCCCCAUGCAACAGAUUUAGUCCAUUGUAUCGAGGUUUUGUCUGUUGUAUCCAAAAUCCAUUACAUAGGGGUUCAUUACAUCGAGGGUUUACCGAAGUGCAUUAAAUUUUGGAGUGUAGCAUAUGUGUACCCAUUAGAUCAUCUUUAUAUUUGUUUUAUGCUAGGGAUUUUUUUCAUUAUCAUUAAAGAUUAUAAUUUUAAAAUUUGUUCUUAGUUACAAUAAAAAAAUAAUUUACAAGUAACCUUCCUACUGAUGAGGUCCAAAGCACUGCAAGAUUACCACACCACACAUCACAGAGAUACCGUUGAAUUAAGGUGCCUUAGUCCAAGCUUUUGCUAGUAGCAAAGUGGACCAGCUAUCUAGCUUGUAGCAAAAUGAGUAAAUUAUAGCUUAUCAUUGCCCAGUGGAACAACUAUAGCUUAUAGCAAAGAGAUCAGGGUAUGGCUUGUUAUGGCAAAGUGGACAGGUUAUAGCUUGUUGCAGCAAAGUGGAUAUGCUAUAGUUUGUCAAAGUAAACUAGACAGGCAAUUGUCUGUUGUGUUACAGUAAAGUGGACAAACUAUACCUUGUUAUUGCAAAUUGGAUCAAGGUACCAUGUUUUAAUGACAUUUCAGUGAUGACUUUGGUGACAAUCUUGCAUGUGUUAAACCCCACCUGCAGGAAGAUUAAUAUUUGUAAAUAUUAAUUAUGGUCUGUAAAUUUGAGAUAUAGGACUCUUAAAUAAUAUAGUGUAUAGAACUACUUUUUUUUUAACAUUGGAGCAUUGCCAUUCUUAACAGAGUACAUUAAAGCCCAACUUUGAUGGAUGAAAGAUGUCUUUCCAAAGCUGUACUGGGUCUACUGGUAUUCUCUUCAUAUAUAAAAUAUUGACUGAGUAGGUUUCCAGUAGACAUUGUAACAAUUUUUGACAUAACUUUUUGUUUGUCCAUUAUUAAUAUUUAUUAUCUUGCAACUUUAAAUUUAAUGUGAAAUUUAGCCAGUUUCUAUUCCUAAAGCUUUAAUUACUAGAAUUAAUACUGUUUUCCUAUCAUGAGUACUAUAAUCCUAUCAAUACAAUUGUACCUGUAGACAUAUUGUUUUAUUUUUCUCCAUACACCAAAUUACAGUAGUGCUUGACAACCAGAUACUACAUAUGGUUGAACCAGUCCCAGAAGAAUCAUUGUCAAAGAUGGAAGCAAGAGCAACUAGAGAUAUAGAAACAAGUGUAAUACAGUAUUUGUUAAAUAACUGUUGUGUCAGUAUGCAUCUGUUAGUAACAAGAUUUAUCACAUCCUUCUUACACAGAAAUCUUUGUAUUUUCUCCCUAUGCUUUCACUCUUUUGAUCAUUACUCCAUUUAAAGGGGUGCUUUGAUGCUGGUAAAUAGCUCUUGAAUCAAGGAAUUAGAACUAGCCACUUCUUCCUUGGAUCAAAUGCAGUUGCCUAUUGUGUCCCAGGUGCUGUAUGGCCCUUACAGAUUUAGUGCUUCCCAUUAAUAUAAUAAUAAUAGUUGCCUUACAACAUCCAUUGCUUUCCUCCAAUACUACUCUUACUCAUUAUACCACACAUUUUUUUAAGACGUCAGUUGUUUCCCACUAAGGCAGGGUGACCCAAAAAGAAAGAAAAACCCAAAAAGAAAAAAAAAACUCAUCAUCAUUCAACACUUUCACCAUCACUCAUACAUAAUCACUGUCUUUGCAGAGGCUCUCAGAUAUGACAGUCUCCUCAAGGGAGAUUCCUUGAUGCUGGUGAGAGACUCUUGAUCUAGGGAACUGAAUCUGUGCUCCAGUUUCCUGAAUUGAAACCUGAAUACCUUCCACUCCC